ACAGUCGUGGCCGAGUGGUUAAGGCGAUGGACAAGAACUCCAUUGGGGUCUCCCCGCACAGGUUCGAAUCCUGUCGACUGCG
rfam:Ixodes scapularis strain Wikel colony gcontig_1108379577408, whole genome shotgun sequence.